AAAAGAUGUAACAUUUUCUAGAUUUAUCAAUUUUUCGCCAAUUACAAAUAUAUUUAAUAUAGAAGUUGUUUUUGCCAUGUUCCGCCCAUUCUAACAUGCUAACAUUUCCUCCAGUUCAGGUGCAGAGCUGAUAAUUAUGCUCCGACAUCUUUGAUCAACACACAAGAUCAAAUAAUCUCAAAAAGUAUUUAUUGAAAUUGUAGUUACAACAUAAUUACAGCAACACCACAAUUAUGCUAUAGAAAUCCUAUCAUACUCAUACAAACACCUGAAAUGAAAUAAUUACACAAGAAGAGCAUCAAUAAUGUUCAUUUUUCAUUCCACUUGAUUACGAAUCAGCCUUUAACACUGUUGCUGCUUCCCCAUUACCAGCUACGGCCGAAUCACAGGCAUGUAACAAAGUACAUAUGUCUGUGGUUUCCAGAAACUGUUCUGCCUCGGUAAUGAUAAUAGGGGCGUACUCGAAAACCAAUUUCUUGCACUGCAAAUCAAUGAUAUCAACUCAACUAAAUUUAGUAUCAACAAGGAACUAGAGGAUAAAUUUUGUUAGGAUACUCAAUUGUUAAUUGUGAAACUUAAAAAUUGAGAGUUCGCAUAAUAGUAUUCUUACAGGCAGUAAUCCCAAUAUGCCCAUCCCACACUAAGGCAUAAGGGAAGGAUGAUAUUAUCAGUAUCAGUAUAUGAGGGACACUAAUAUAAUAAGAUACCGUCUAUGGACCGAGUCUGAUCAGCAGAGAUGGCAAAGGUUAUUGCAACUCUGUGCAGUGGAUUUUAUGAAUAGAAUGAUCUCAAUCUUAAUAUAUUUCAUCUUAUAAGCUAGUAAUCAUUUUCUUACCUUUGCAGCAUAGUUCUCCAUAGAAUCACAUGCCUUUAGAAGCAUCUCAAUUAUCUCAAGCUGCGUGUCGGGAUUUUUCAACUUCAGUAAUACUUCUGAAACAGCACGAUGGCAAAUUCCACAUUCAUCUUGUUGAAGUUUUGAGGAAAUGAACACAAUUUCCUGACAAAGAUUGAUUUUUCUACAAAAUGCUUCAGGUUGUACCGAGGAAACUUCCAGAAAGAAUAGAGGAGCAUAAUAGUCCACCAAAGUUAUGCACUGUUGCUUGAAAGGAGGCACUCGAGAGCAGGCUACAUGAAGGGUGUCAAUAAUUUCAGUCUGGGUCUUGUUUUCAUUUAGGUAAUCAAGUGCUUGGGAAGCAAAGUCCUCACACAAUGUGCAAACUUGAUCAUUCCUGAUAACUCCAUCUGAAGCUUGAUCUUCCCUUUCUUGCUCCUGGUCUUUCCCUUGUGUAGCUGCACCUGGUGUAUCAGAGAUCACCAGGCUUGUAUAAGAAAGCUCAGCAUCUGCCAUUUGUCUAGCAGCACAAGCCCAGCCAGCACUCAACACAAGAAGAAAUAAGAGCCCAACUCUCACAUCCAUGAUAACUUUAGUUGCAUGCAAGUAACAACAACACCAAAUUAGAAAACAUAUAAGAGAAGCUUCUCUCUGCACGUUGAGAAGUCCAAUAUAAUUGAUAAUGCGUUGAUAACUACAGACAAUAAUUACUACAGAUAUAUGGAAAAAUAGGAUCUGAUGUAUUUAAUAUGGGUUAAACUCAAGAUAGGAUUAUUUUUUAGAAUUGUUUUUUAUGAAACAAUUAUAGCUACAUUAAAUCUGCCACCAGCUACUUCCAUGGUUAACAUUCCACUCUCAAAUUAUAGCCGCAUUUCUCACUCUACCUAAUGAUUAGUUAAGAAUGGUUAGGAAUUAGUGAUUAAGAACAUAGAUGAUAUAUAUUUCAUCCAUAGUAUAUGUUUCUUAAGGUUCCAAAUAACAUGAGACCAAAACAUGCCUGCCACAAUUAUGAAACCAGCCAAAUUCCUGCUCCUCCUAACUAGCUCAAUCAUAUCUCUAUUCUCUUCUUCCUCUUUACACUUUUCAGCUAACAUGUUUUAUGCCACAACUACGCCAAUUAAUUAGCUUAUCAGUUAUUACAAAAUAGCAAAGAAGCAAGCUGCAAUCAGACUGUAAAUUUCUCAAGGGAGCCCACUUCCCAAGAGUGCAAAAAAGAAAAAAAAAUCAAGCCAGGGGCAUAAAUAAUCAACCCAGAUUCAAAUCAAUAGAUACUAAGGGCACAAGAUAAGAUUCCUUUGCAUCUUCCAAUUACUAAUCAACACAAAAAUACAAUCAAUACCAAAUGAAAUCUCCGUCAACGAAUUUCACACAAAGUCUCCGUGCAGUAAAAAGAGCAAAUAACUGAGUUCCAUCGUUCAAACUAACAACCUCAUCUAAUCUACCCACGAUGCUGAAUUAAAUUCAAAUUAAAAAAAAAAAUCUGUAAGAUCAUAAUAAGCUUCUAACGUAUUACGCUGUAUGUACAAAAAAGCACAACGAGACGGAGAAAAAACAAAAAAACCUCCACAGAAAGGAUAAAGAAUAAAUGGAGGGGAAAGCCUAAUGAUCUGUUUAGCAGCUGAUAUCAUAUGUAGCAUUAAUUAGAUAGGAAGGAAGUUGAGAAAUCGAAGGUUUUAGUUUUUCUUCUUUUGAUCCUAAUAGCUGUUUCUCUGCGAUCAAACAAAUGAAGGAUUACCUCCGCCAAAAUUUUCCGGCGCUUAGAUUUUGUAGACGAAGGAGGCGGAGCUAGACAGCAGAGAAGGAAUGGAGACUGGUGUCCGCGGGGCUUUUUGAGUGUUGGGUGAGAGGCGUUGAAUGGCGGUUGGGUCUCCACGCGGGUGGUGCUUUUAAUUUAAUAAAUAUAAAAGGAAGCCCGAUUAAGCUGCGCUUUUCUACGGUAAGCAACAUGUAAUCAUCCCGGCUAUUAUCAGAUUUCCACCGAUGACCAACAUUACUAACGUGGCAUGAUUUUAGUGGAUAUUACAGGUUGAGUAUUGUUGGUCAUAGUAGAAGAUCCAA
rnacentral:misc_RNA from 1 species